rnacentral:rRNA from 1 species
AUUGAACGCUGGCGGCAUGCCUUACACAUGCAAGUCGAACGGCAGCACGGGUGCUUGCACCUGGUGGCGAGUGGCGAACGGGUAAGUAAUACAUCGGAACGUACCUUAUCGUGGGGGAUAACGCAGCGAAAGCUGUGCUAAUACCGCAUACGCCCUGAGGGGAAAGCGGGGGAUCGCAAGACCUCGCGCGAUUAGAGCGGCCGAUGCCUGAUUAGCUUGUUGGUGGGGUAAAAGCCCACCAAGGCGACGAUCAGUAGCUGGUCUGAGAGGACGAUCAGCCACACUGUGACUGAGACACGGCCCAGACUCCUACGGGAGGCAGCAGUGGGGAAUUUUGGACAAUGGGGGCAACCCUGAUCCAGCAAUGCCGCGUGAGUGAAGAAGGCCUUCGGGUUGUAAAGCUCUUUUGUCAGGGAAGAAACACCGGCUCUAACACAGUCUGGGAAUGACGGUACCUGAAGAAUAAGCACCGGCUAACUACGUGCCAGCAGCCGCAGUAAUAC